GCCUGCCCCUCACCCAAAUGGGGAAGUUGUGCAUACACCGUCAAGAGACAAUGAAGUGUCUAGGCUGUUGCUCUCUUGUGUGGAGAGCCACACGGACAGCAACAUUGAAGAGGAGGGCAGCACGCCUGAGGCUUGUUCAAGCCAGGACAGUAUGGAUGG